GAAACUGGGUAUAAUACCCGAUAGGUCUCGAUUGCUGGAAUGCAUCGAGAUUUAAAGCUCCGGCGCCUAAGGAUGGGUCUGCGGCCUAUCAGGUAGUAGUGGGUGUAGCGUACCUACUAGCCUACGACGGGUACGGGUUGUGAGAGCAAGAGCCCGGAGAUGGAUUCUGAGACACGAAUCCAGGCCCUACGGGGUGCAGCAGGCGCGAAAACUUUACAAUGCUGGCAACAGCGAUAAGGGAACCUCGAGUGCCAGGUUACAAAUCUGGCUGUCGAGAUGCCUAAAAAGCAUUUCAUAGCAAGGGCCGGGCAAGACCGGUGCCAGCCGCCGCGGUAACACCGGCGGCUCGAGUGGUAACCGUUAUUAUUGGGUCUAAAGGGUCUGUAGCCGGCCGGAUAAGUCUCUUGAGAAAUCUGGCAGCUUAACUGUCAGGCUUUCAGGAGAUACUGUCUGGCUCGAGGCCGGGAGAGGUGAGAGGUACUUCAGGGGUAGGGGUGAAAUCUUGUAAUCCUUGAAGGACCACCAGUGGCGAAGGCGUCUCACCAGAACGGACCUGACGGCAAGGGACGAAAGCUAGGGGCACGAACCGGAUUAGAUACCCGGGUAGUCCUAGCCGUAAACGAUACUCGCUAGGUGUCGGCCACGGUGCGACCGUUGUCGGUGCCGUAGGGAAGCCGUGAAGCGAG
rnacentral:rRNA from 1 species